CUGUGGGAGCGGAGAGGGACAAGGCGAGGGGCGGGGGUGCCCUGCAGCUCCCUCCUCUGUUUCUGAUUUUAUUUUUAUUAUUGUUGGGUGUAUUACUACUUCCCUCACCGCCGAGGGGCUUUGCCGAAACCUCCCACCCGUGGGCUCAGCGGUGCGCGGGGCGCCUCCCGCAGUGCGGGGCGCAGUGUACCCCUCCUGUCCCCCGCCCCGCCGCCCUGUGACCUUGGGCACGGCGCCCCGGGCGCGCCCCGCAGCUGCGAGGUCCCCCCCGCCGGGCCGGUCAUCGCCACCUCCGGGCAGGGGCCGGCGCCCCGGCGAGCAGUGCUCGGCUUUGUUCUCCCCGCCGGAGCAGGAGGCACCAUUAGAAAUAAAUGUAACGAUUACCCAGCUUUUUUUUUUUUUUUUUUUUUUUUUUUUUUUUUUUUUUUUUUUUUUCUGCUCCCCUUAACUGUUGUCAUUGUGCACAGGAAAUAGGACGUUCUAGAUUUCCUGUCACUUUAAACCACAAACCAGCAGUUCUCUAAUGCAGAUUAGUGAAAUUCACACAGACUAAGCACACGCCGUCUCGUUCCCAAAAAAGAAAACCUGUUUCCCUGACCCCCUUCCCGAGCUGUGAAUUGCUCAUCCGCCACCUGCAUCCCCACUGAAACACAGGGUGGGGGCCAGGGAGGCAGCAGGAGAGGGUGUUCGCUCUCCUCGUUUGCCACGGGAGGUGAAGCAACCUGUCACCGGGCGCAUCCCGGCACGUACGGUCGGCUGCACGCCUUUGCCCGUGCGGGGUGAACCCGGCGCAGCCUGCUUCCCCCGACCGCCGUGCUCCAGCCGCCCUUCCCACGGCGUUAUAUCACGUUGUUGAACAAAGAGAUUCCGUGGGAUUCCGUCAUCCCAUUGUCUUUGAUGAUCACUCAGCCCCAGAAAUGGUGUGCCCAUGCAGUCAGGAGCAGGACAGCAGCUCAGAGGAGACUGUUGCCAUAUGAGGAGGUGAAACCUUCUGUGAUGCUGUUGUGCUCUUAACCACAGGAUGGGAUGAGCACUGUGACCAUGCUAACAUCGUCAGGAAAAAGAAUGUACAAGGUGAGGCAUUAAAAGCACACCCAAAAAAUUGGCAUUGCCCUCUCCUUUUCC